rnacentral:lncRNA from 1 species
UUUUACUCUGGUUGAGAGAGUUGUAGAAAUUAUUAUCGACGAAUGCAGAAGGAAAAAGUGGGAGAAGAGCAACAAGGUGCUGGAAUCCGAGAGGAACGAAGACUUGCAGGACCUCAACAAAAAAAUACAAGCUCUGCAUAAAGAUUUCAACAUAUCAAAGGAGUCCACAAAGAAUGAGAUUCAGAUAAUAAGAGCUGACCUGGAGAAGAAAGUAAAGAAGGAAAUUUUAAGGGCCGUGGAAUCCAUAUUGAAACAGCAGCUUGGGCCACUAUCCAAAAAAUUUCAAACUCUGGAAGAAGAUGUACAGAACUGGCAAGAGACCACAAAGCGUGAGAUUCAGCUUCUCAGAGCAGACCUGGAGAAGCAAGGAAAGAAGGAGGAGGAACGUUCAAUGGCCCUGCAGUGCAGCAUCAAAACGUUACUCCAGCAGGUCUCCCAAGGAUUUCAAAUUCUGGAUCAAACUUUGCAGUGGAGACAGGAGGUGCCAUAUCUUGAGUUCCCGCUUUUCCAAGCAUACCUGGAGAACUACCUAGGUGGGUAGGGCUAAUAUUAAGAAAACUUUCAUCUCUCUGAAUGCUGAAGCUGCUCUACUGGGCAAC